rnacentral:rRNA from 1 species
CUUUUUGAAAUAAAUUUAAAGUCUAACCUGCCCACUGAAAAUUUUAAAUGGCCGCAGUAUUUUAACUGUGCAAAGGUAGCAUAAUCAUUAGUCUUUUAAUUGAAGGCUGGAAUGAAUGGUUGGACGAAAUAUUAACUGUUUCAUUUAAAUUUUUAUUAGAAUUUUAUUUUUUAGUCAAAAAGCUAAAAUAAAUUUAAAAGACGAGAAGACUCUAUAAAUCUUUAUAUUUUAUUUUAUUUUAAUUAUAAAGAUUAAUUAAAUUUUAAUAAAUAUAAAUAUUUUAUUGGGGUGAUAUUAAAAUUUAAAAAACUUUUAAUUUUUUAAAAACAUUAAUUUAUGAAUAUUUGAUCCAUUAAUAAUGAUUAAAAAUUUAAGUUACUUUAGGGAUAACAGCGUAAUUUUUUUGGAGAGUUCAUAUCGAUAAAAAAGAUU